CCUACGGGAGGCAGCAGUGGGGAAUAUUGCACAAUGGGCGCAAGCCUAAUGCAGCCAUGCCGCGUGUGUGAAGAAGGCCUCCGGGUUGUAAAGCACUUUCAGCGGGGAGGAAGGCGGUGAGGUUAAUAACCUCAUCGAUUGACGUUACCCGCAGAAGAAGCACCGGCUAACUCCGUGCCAGCAGCCGCGGUAAUACGGAGGGUGCAAGCGUUAAUCGGAAUUACUGGGCGUAAAGCGCACGCAGGCGGUCUGUCAAGUCGGAUGUGAAAUCCCCGGGCUCAACCUGGGAACUGCAUUCGAAACUGGCAGGCUAGAGUCUUGUAGAGGGGGGUAGAAUUCCAGGUGUAGCGGUGAAAUGCGUAGAGAUCUGGGGGAAUACCGGUGGCGAAGGCGGCCCCCUGGACAAAGACUGACGCUCAGGUGCGAAAGCGUGGGGAGCAAACAGGAUUAGAUACCCGAGUAGUC
rnacentral:rRNA from 1 species